rnacentral:rRNA from 1 species
CCUACGGGAGGCAGCAGUGGGGAAUAUUGGACAAUGGGCGAAAGCCUGAUCCAGCCAUGCCGCGUGUGUGAAGAAGGCCUUCGGGUUGUAAAGCACUUUCAGUGGGGAAGAAAGCCUUGGGGCUAAUACCCUCGAGGAAGGACAUCACCCACAGAAGAAGCACCGGCUAACUCCGUGCCAGCAGCCGCGGUAAUACGGAGGGUGCGAGCGUCAAUCGGAAUUACUGGGCGUAAAGCGCGCGUAGGCGGUCUGAUAAGCCGGUUGUGAAAGCCCCGGGCUCAACCUGGGAACGGCAUCCGGAACUGUCAGGCUAGAGUGCAGGAGAGGAAGGUAGAAUUCCCGGUGUAGCGGUGAAAUGCGUAGAGAUCGGGAGGAAUACCAGUGGCGAAGGCGGCCUUCUGGACUGACACUGACGCUGAGGUGCGAAAGCGUGGGUAGCAAACAGGAUUAGAUACCCCGGUAGUC